rnacentral:rRNA from 1 species
AUUUUGGACAAUGGGGGAAACCCUGAUCCAGCCAUCCCGCGUGAGCGAAGAAGGUCUUAGGGUCGUAAAGCUCUGUUAUAAGGGACGAACAUUAUCUAUGUAAACAAUGUAGAUAAAAGACGGUACCUUAUGAGUAAGCCCCGGCUAACUAUGUGCCAGCAGCCGCGGUAAUACGUAGGUGGCAAGCGUUAUCCGGAAUUAUUGGGCGUAAAGCGCGCGCAGGCGGUUUCUUAAGUCUGAUGUGAAAGCCCACGGCUCAACCGUGGAGGGUCAUUGGAAACUGGGAAGCUUGAGUGCAGAAGAGGAGAGUGGAAUUCCAUGUGUAGCGGUGAAAUGCGUAGAGAUAUGGAGGAACACCAGUGGCGAAGGCGACUCUCUGGUCUGCAACUGACGCUGAGGCGCGAAAGCGUGGGGAGCGAACA